GUUGAGUUGGCGUCCAUAGUUACCAACCGAAAACGUAAAAUGUAUUUUAGUAGCGUCUGGUUUGGCUAAAACCCUCAAACAGAAACAACAGCCAGGACGGAUAUGACGAGGGGCACUCUGGAUCGAAGACCCCGGUCUGCAUCGAGUGAGCGGCCAGGUAGCCGGGCAUCGAGCGUGUCCUCAGACGAACCUCAGGUUGUCAGCAGGAGUCCAAGCGGUCUUUCAACCCGCCUUGAUGCUCUGAGGAACGAGAACGCCAACCCACAGGUAUCCACGAUGACCUUAAAUGAUGAUAACUACCUUGAGGAUGAGCCAAGUACAAGCGAAAGCAGUCUCUUACAAAAUCACACGGACGAAGAUGCCAAGGCUAUGCCUACUAACAGAAAACAUAGGGAUUGUAAAACUCAAGAAGCACUGGUUGAAAUGGCCAGAUUGGACUUUGUCUUGGCUGCAUCUGAACUGAAGCUAAACCAUGUUAAGUUACAAAGGAAAGAAUGGAGUCAAAAGCGUUGGAGUGAAUACAUGAGUAUACCAAGGACAUAUGAAUCUACUGCCGAAGCUGAAAACACAAAGUCGUUUUUGGCACUGGAAGCACCUCAUCAAGGUAAAAAGAAUAUGACCCAUUUACCAGAGGUAGAUGAUUCUCCCCACUUCACCCCGAUUGCCACUCCCCAGGGCAAGAGCAAGAUAGACUUUGUGAAGAGAAACAUUGAGCUUGCCGGGGACGCUGGAGGCCCUUAUCGGAUGACACCAGCGGAGAAGGCGCGGCUGGCUGAGCUCCUCAAGGAGUCCGACGAGGAAGAGGAACCCGCUCUCGGAGGAGCCGGCGACCAGGAGGGAGAUCCAUGUGUGUCGUCCUUCGCCACGAGCCACGCCUCCACCCUGGAACCAGUGGACCUGGAGCGCCAGAGACACAUCAAGUACCAGCUGAGCCUCCUCGGCCCGCUGGGCCCGGCGGAAGACUUCUUCCCCGUCUUCCUGACUGGCAGCGAGUCUGAGGCCACUGGAUCGGACGCCAUCUGGGGGCUCGGUGGGGAAAGCUGGGCCAGCAGUAGAUGUGCAGUGGACUACCUGAGGAAAAAGACAGCGGGCGAAGCCUCAUCUCCCAGGGACACAACGGCGGCCGAAGACAUCAACCCAGAGAUCCCACGCAUUAGUGCAGAGCAGCUGCGUUCCCUGUUGGAAGAGGCUGAGCAGUGCCAGAGGUCUCAUCCUCGGCCUCCCAUCUCCAAGGCCAAGCUGGCGGCCCUGCUCAAAGACCCAUACACCACCAGCUUCUCCCACAGCGGCCCGUUCCCCGCCGACGACUAACUGCCGCCAGAGAGGAUUGUGGGUCUCUUCUCGACACAUCCCUGUCCACACACCAAUGGCCAAACAAAAGAUAUGGAUGCACAAUAAUAAAGUUUGUUCAGGACUGUAUGAGACCCAGCUAAUGGAUUCCAGUUGUGUUGUCCCACCAUGGCUACAUUCAGGUGUUUUAAGUUUCAGACCUAAAGGAAAUGCGCUUUACCUCUCAGACUUCAGCAAUUAUGUCUUAAUGGUUCAGCAUGAAAUAAAAGCCAAGUAACUUGAAUACA